AGUGAACGCUGGCGGUAGGCCUAACACAUGCAAGUCGAACGGCAGCACAGUAAGAGCUUGCUCUUACGGGUGGCGAGUGGCGGACGGGUGAGGAAUACAUCGGAAUCUACUUUUUCGUGGGGGAUAACGUAGGGAAACUUACGCUAAUACCGCAUACGACCUACGGGUGAAAGCAGGGGAUCUUCGGACCUUGCGCGAUUGAAUGAGCCGAUGUCGGAUUAGCUAGUUGGCGGGGUAAAGGCCCACCAAGGCGACGAUCCGUAGCUGGUCUGAGAGGAUGAUCAGCCACACUGGAACUGAGACACUGUCCAGACUCCUACGGGAGGCAGCAGUGGGGAAUAUUGGACAAUGGGCGCAAGCCUGAUCCAGCCAUACCGCGUGGGUGAAGAAGGCCUUCGGGUUGUAAAGCCCUUUUGUUGGGAAAGAAAAGCAGCAGGUUAAUACCCCGCUGUUCUGACGGUACCCAAAGAAUAAGCACAGGCUAACUUCGUG
rnacentral:rRNA from 1 species